rnacentral:rRNA from 1 species
GAUGAACGCUAGCGGCAGGCCUAACACAUGCAAGUCGAGGGGUAACGUGAGUGCUUGCACUUGACGACGACCGGCGCACGGGUGCGGAACGCGUAUGGAACCUACCUUUAUCAGGGGGAUAGCCCAUGGAAACGUGGAUUAAUACCCCAUAGUAUUAUUUCAUUGCAUGAUGAUUUAAUUAAAGAAUUUCGGAUAGAGAUGGCCAUGCGUAUCAUUAGCUAGUAGGCGAGGUAACGGCUCACCUAGGCGACGAUGAUUAGGGGUCCUGAGAGGGAGAUCCCCCACACUGGUACUGAGACACGGACCAGACUCCUACGGGAGGCAGCAGUGAGGAAUAUUGGGCAAUGGAGGCAACUCUGACCCAGCCAUGCCGCGUGCAGGAAGACGGCCCUAUGGGUUGUAAACUGCUUUUAUACAGGAAGAACACCACCCACGUGUGGGUGACUGACGGUACUGUAAGAAUAAGGACCGGCUAACUCCGUGCCGGCGGA